ACAACAAAUCGAAUCACUUCAUUGCCAUUUAAUCCACAUUUGGAACAGCCAUUCAGAGCUUCUGAUACUUGAAAGUUGAAAUGGCAUCAACAUUGUCCACAUUAUUCAAGGUGUUGGUUGGGUAGCCGAUUUCACAUUAGCGGGCAAGUCCAAUAAAACUUCAGUGUCAUAUUCUACUCUCAGCAGGUACUGGUGCCAAAUCGAAGUGCUCCUCCAGCACAGUGAACACUUCUGUAAGCGAGGACACCUUGAAGUCAGGUUUAACUUCCUCAGGCAAACAAUCAUGAGGACCAUAUCGCCCUGUUUCAUCGAGCAAGCAAGUAAAAGCUCCUGCCUUCUUUCCACAAACAACCUGAAAUUUUUUCAAAUGACAAGUAAUUAAGUGAAAGCGCAAUGUGACCAACUUCAGUUUAUAGUUUACCAAAAAAAAAAUGCAAGAGAAUACUUAAGGAACUAGUCAGUUAGUAAAGCAAAAUGAGACCAAAUUAUGUUGGUUUAGCUAUGAUGCAACUAUGCAAGGACAAUUUACAAGCACAGAGCCAGGGACUCAGGGUUAACUUUUUAAAAAAAAUGUUAUGGUGAAAUUGCAUGUAGACAUGAGCCAUGGAAUUUUAUUUCUGGUUAUUUCAUCAUGCCAAUUGAAAACAUGGAAGAGAAUGUGCAAGUGCAGCUCCCUCCGCUUGUUCUUAGUCGGCAUAUAUGGCAACCCUUUAUACGCUACAGCCUGUAAUCAGUUGAAGAACGCUCACAUCAUCCUUGAGACUGUCGCCGACCAUGAUCACUUCGUGUGGCGGAAUGUUCCAAGUGGAGCAUAUGUGAAGCAGUGGAGCUGGAUCUGGCUUAUAGGGGUGAAAUUCUCUACUAAGUGCAGGAGUGAACAUCAUCUGCAGAAAUCCCAAACACAAAGGUAGAGAAGAAUAAACUCACUAAAUGCAAUGUCAUAAUAAUUAAAAAAUUGUACAUCUGUCCCACUUCAGUAUUGCAGCACAAUGACAAGCAAUGAAUCAGAUCACUGAGAGAGCAAAUAAUAUGGGCAUGAUCUCAUAAUAAUCUGGAAAAAGUUACUACAUUAUGAUAAAACAGACUCCACAGGUAUAUGAGAGCCAGAAAUAACCAAAUGGGAAUGCCGAAUUAGUAAUCAGCAGGAGGGUAAUGCAACAACUUACACCAAACCUUUGGUGAAACAAAUCAACUGCGUCCUUCACAUUACGGGUGAUCAAACCUCUUCUGCAAAAAGUUGAGGCCAGGAAUCAAAAGCUGAAUAUACGUUUCUAAAACAACAAAUGAUUGACAGACAAAAAUACAAUGAUUGCAGUUAUCCAUGCAUAUUAGGCAAGAUAAACUCAAUCACUUUUGAAAUGACACCGACACAUGUUCGAUAAUAGGCAUGAACUCGAUUGCUUGUGUCAAGCAACAGUACCCACUCGGGUACAUGCAAUAAACUAGAGAAGUGAAAAUCAGCCUUUUAACACACAGCAGUACAUCAUUGAUGUUAGUCGAAUUCUUUCUGAUCAAUCUAUGGUUCGACUAGCAGCAUAAGUCACAGAAUUGCUAUUGGCAUCUUUUGAAGUGGCACGGUUGCAUACAAAAUUUUCAGAGAACGAUGUGCUUGUAUAAGAAUUAGACGAGAAUAUAGAAUAUGGUACAGCCAUCGCAAACGUGUAGUAUGUAUGACAGUAUGAAUGAAAACAUUAGUCAGCAGUACACUGCAAGUACAAAUUUUCCUUGCUGAGAAAUUGUUCUUAAGUUUCUGCAAUGCAACUUCCAAUCAGACAAGCACUCUGACAUUUCAUUUGGCAUCGACUCAUGAUCAUCUGUAUCACGAUCAGAUUUUGAAGCAGCUAAGUUUUGAAUCGAAACCGGCAGGUGAAAAUACCACGCGAACCCAAUAUCAAAGCUGGAGGAAUUCCACACAGAGAGUCAGCCCGAAGGAAGCAAUUGAAGUUGCAUUUUGGAGGUAGCAAGCACUGACCUGAUCUGCUUUGCGUCCAGGAAGCCACAUAGCUCCGAGGCCCCUGCAUAUAUCCAGGACAAAUCGCAAGCAGUCACACACCACACCGAGUGUCACCGAGCUACAAACUGCGAAUCCAGAAGCAGCAGCAAGGCAAGCAGGGUGGACUGGUGGUGGCCGCCUGACCGGGCAUGAUCUGGAGGCGGUCGAGCCCCUCCUGUCCGAAGCGCGCGAUAACCUCGUACGCGUGGCGCUGCUUGUCGGGGUCCCAGUCCUCGAUGCAGUGGAGGAUAUCGACGGCGCCUCCCCCGGCCGCGAGCGCCGCGGCGUAGGCCGCCUCCCCGCCGAGCACCUCGCGGUACAUGGCCUGGAAGUCGAUGACGGGUACCGUCAGGGUGCCGUCCAUGUCGAAGACCACCCCGCGCAGCGGCCGCCGCCUCGGCCCCGGGGCGGGUGCGGGCGCGGGCGCGGCGGAGGCGGAAGCGAAGGCGGAGGUGGACAUGACCCGGCGGCCGCCGACGGCGCGGCGGCGAGGGAGGGGCGCGGCGCUCGCGGCGAGGGGCCCGCCGAGGAGCAUGCGUGGCGUGAUCUGGGCCGCUAGAUGAGCCCGUAUCGGGUAGCUACGGUGGGGUUUAUGGGCCGCCUGAUUGUCUGGUGCGGCCUGCGGGUGGUGUUGGCCUGUGUCUGUGUGGAGGGGAGUAUUUCGCCGUGGCGGGCUUUCGCUGUCCCAUGCUGUGAGGGGAAGUAAUAAACUCGGUUGUAUUUUUUAUAUUUCACUAGGUGUAACGGGUGAAAAUCAAGUGAUAUAUUCUAAGUGAUACUACAGAGAAUCAAACACAACCACAUUGUAUAUUUCUACAAUUUCACGAGUUACAUACUAUCUACCACCUAUCAGACUGAGACUUCAAUUGGCAAAAUAGCAACCCUGAUUGAGAGUUUGAGCUUAUCUAUCAAAUCUAUCAGUCAUUUAGUUGUAUUUUUCUCUCACAAUAAAUUAAUAAAGAGUAUUUUCAGCUCAGUUUCAGCCAAGCAAAUAUUUUCUUUGUUUUUACUUGUUCGCUACAUCAUUUUGCGGCUGAUGCUAAUACUAAUUUGUUGUGCUAUACCUUUUCAACCACGAUAUAGUGUAGGAAUUUACCAUCAGUAAAUAGUAAUUACAGCAAAACGUUUGGACUCUCUCAUCUGACCAUACCACGCGCAGACGUGCUGUGUCCCGGUAUAUAUAUCCAACAAUUCACACUGGCGGUUGUUUAGGCUAACACGGAGCACGGAGUAAGCCGAAGUGCCGGACCGGCACAGAAUAAGCAGGAGGGUGAAUCUAUUCCUAGAUCUGCUCUGUGUCUUGUCAUUUUAAAGAUGAAGACGGUGCUCUAGACAGAUACCUAUGGUUUUUUUUUAGUGUAACUAAAUAAACUAAAUUAAUGGGAGGUGAUAUGAACACUGGAUAUUUCCACAAGAGAGCUAAUGGGAGGAAAAGGAAGAUGCAUAUAUCUAGUUUGGAACAUAAUGAUCAAAAGCUGGAUUCACCAGAACAAUUAAAAACACAUAUUACAGAGUAUUACAAAACUUUGUUUGGGAGAGUAGAGUUAGUAGACAUCCAUCUAGAACCUGAUAUGUGGUCGGUGAACCAGAGAUUAUCUAGUGAAGAGAAUGAAUGGCUUACUAGACCUUUUAGUCUUGAGGAACUUGAUUUUGCUCUUAAAGAGAUGAAAAAUAAUACAGCACCUGGGCCGGAUGGGUUCAAUGUACAUUUCUUUAAGACUUUCUGGAGUUUCAUCAGAUAUGAUAUAAAAGAAAUGUUGGACGGUUUACACUGUGGUCGUUUAGAGCUUUGGAGAUUGAAUUAUGGGGUGAUCAUCUUGCUGCCAAAAGUGAAACCGGCGGUAAAUGUUAAGCAGUUUAGGCCAAUCUGCCUGCUGAAUGUUAUCUACAAAAUUAUCACCAAAGUGCUGACGAUAAGAUUGACUAAGGUGAUAGACAAGCUGAUUAGCCCUUUUCAGACUGCUUUCAUUCCAGGAAGAAACAUUCUAGAGGGUAUAGUGAUUGCUCAAGAGGUGCUUCAUGAACUGAAAGUAACAAAAACACCUGGAGUGAUUCUAAAGCUGGAUUUUGAGAAAGCAUACGACAAAGUCAGCUGGUCUUUCUUAGAGGAAGUUAUGAGAGCUAAGGGUUUUGAUGAAGUGUGGAUUCAAUGGAUUAACUGUGCUGUCAAAGGUGGAAGAGUUUGCAUUGAUGUCAAUGGUGAACGAGGAGAAUUCUUCAGAAGUUUCAAGGGUUUACGUCAGGGAGACCCUCUAUCUCCUCUUUUGUUUAACUUGGUAGCGGAUGCCCUCUCUAAUAUGCUGCCCAGAGCAAGCGAGGCGGGCAUAAUCCAGGGUGUAGUGCCAAACCUAAUUGAUGGAGGACUAACCCAUCUACAGUAUGCAGAUGAUACUGUCAUCUUUCUGAGUUUCUCCUUUGAGAAUUUGAGGAACUUGAGAAUAAUUCUAAACUGUUAUGAAGCAUUAUCUGGAAUGAAAAUAAAUUUUGAUAAAAGUGAGGUGUUUACAAUGGGUGUGUCCGAGGAAGAUCGAUAGGAAGUUGUUAGAGUUCUCAACUGUAAACUGGGGUCCUUUCCAAUAAAGUAUCUGGGAAUUCGAGUAAGUGACUGUAAAAUAACUAAGGCACAAUUCAGGUAUGUUAGCGACAAAGCUGAAAAACAGUUAGGAACUUGGCAAUGUGACUACUUGUCCUCAGGUGGCAGGUCAGUGCUGAUUGAUUCAUGUUUGUCUGCCAUCCCUAUGUAUACAAUGGGAGUAUAUCAACUUUAUGAAGGAAACUAUUAGCUUCUGGACUCUAUCAGAUCUAAGUUUUAUUGGCAGGGCACAUGCAAGAAACGUAAAUAUCACAUGAUUAAAUGGGAAGCACUCAACAGGCCAAAGGAGGCUGGGGGGCUAGGUUUUAUGGAUGUUAGAGCUAUGAAUACCUGUUUACUUGCCAAAUGGAUUGACAGAUUGGAGAGGGGGGAUAACAGUAUCUGUUGCAAUAUUCUAAGAAGGAAAUAUUUGGGUGAGAAAAGCAUUUUCCAAGUUAGAGGAAGACAAGGAUCCCAAUUUUGGAGAUCGUUACUUGAUAUCCGAGAGUGGUUUCAGAGAGGCCGAGUUGUUCAAGUAGUCAGUGGCCAACAAACUCGUUUUUGGCAUGACUGCUGGCUAGGGGAAUGCCCUUUGAGGAUCCUGUUCCCUCAUAUGUUUAGCAUUGCGGUGAACCCUGAUUUAGAUGUUUGUCAAGCUUGGACAGAGGACCGAUGGUCUGUACCUUUCAGAAGAUAGCUCCACGGGAUCCAUGGUUUGGAGUGGGAACAAUUGCAGGGCUUGUUAAGAGAAGUUACUUUGGGUGAGGGAAGAGACAAAAUGGUUUGGGCAUUGGAUCAAUCAAAAAAGUAUUCCUCAGGUUCCUUAUAUAGAGCUAUCACGUUUGAGGGGGUGAGAGAUCAACAGUUAAUGAAUGUAUGGAAGUGCAAUAUUCCUUUAAAAGUCAAGAUCUUUAUUUGGAUGGCAGCUCAUGAUAGAAUACAGUCAGGAGUCCAGCUUAAGAGAAAACAGUGGACAGGGCCGGAAGAAUGUGCGGCUUGUGAUAGCCUGGAAACAGCAGAUCACAUCUUAUUCCAAUGUCCCAUCGCAGUAUACCUGUGGUCAUUUCUUAGAGUUUCCUUGGGAUGGUCGUCCCAACCGACUAAUUGCACAGAUUUUCUAAUAGAGUUCGCUGAAGAUUGUAGAGGAGCCAAACGCAAGGUGACACUUUUUAUAUGUGCAGGGGCGCUAUGGACAAUUUGGAAGACGAGGAACGACAUGGCUAUCAACAAGAAGGUUCUCACUUCCCCAAAGGCUAUCGUCUGCAAAACUUUGAUGCUGAUCAAGACUUGGCGCCCUCUCUUGAAGUCGAAGCUGGAACCUACUGCUGAAGAGAUGUUAAGCCUGCUUACAGCUAGUGCGCAGUAGUGUAGGGAGGCUUUGUGGUUUUGUCUUCUUUCGGGAGGUGUUAGCUUUUGUUUUGUUUAGCUAGCUGUUUAGCUGGUUCUGCUAGUCCUGAGGGUUCUGUGGACUAAGUUUGGAGUUCUUUUGAUGUAUGGUGUGUCACAUUGUAAACUGGUAUCCCCAGUGUUCGGACCUUGAGUGCUCGUUACGCUUUCUAAUAAAGCUGGGUGAAAGCCUUUGGUCUAAAAAUAAACUAAAAUAAAGGAAUAAAUUGUCUAUCUAAUUUAUUAAAUUAUAUUAGAGAAGAACCGUAGGUAUCUCCAUACUUAUGCCAUCUGUUCACUGCAGAGCCGGCAAUCAUGGCCUUAUUUAGUUGAAGUAUGAAAAUUUUUUGAAUGUCACAUCGAAUGUUUCGUAGGAUAUCGGAAGGAGUAUUUGGAUACUAAUAAAAGAACUAAUUACAUAACUCGCUUGGAAACUGCGAGACUAAUUUAUUAAGCCUAAUUAAUCUAUCGUUAGCACAUGUAGGUUGUUGUAGCACUUAAGGCUAAUCAUAGACUAACUAGACUUAAAAGAUUUGUCUCAUGAUUUACAACCAAACUGUAUAAUUAAUUUAUUUUUUAUCUAUAUUUAAUAAUCUAUGUAUACGUCCAAAUUUUUGAUGUGAGAGAUGGAUUUUUUUUGGGUUGAAGACAUGGACCCAUGAGCUUCUGUGCCAAGAUUAGAUGAAUGAUUAUGGUGGCAGUUAUCUGGUACUGGUUCCCGUGAAACCGGAAGAAGGGGACUAUGGCCUUGUUUAGUUCCCGACACGAAAUAUUUCGUGACAAUAUAACAAUUUCGUUUGUUUGUGGUAAUUAUUGUUCAAUCAUGAACUAACUAGGUUCAAAAGAUUCGUCUUGCCAAUUUUAACCAAACUGUGUAAUUAGUUUUUAUUUUCGUCUAUAUUUAUACUCCAUGUAUACGUCUAAAGAUUCGAUGUGACGCAGAAUAUUGAAAAUUUUUGUAUUUUUAGAUGGAAGUAAACAAGGCCUAUGGUGCAUUGUGAAAGAAGGCACUGCCUCCAUCCCGAAACGGAUAGAACACAGUAGUAAUAUUUAUGAUCCAAGCUAUAUGUAUUACUUAUAUGACCAAGCCUGCUUGGUUAAAUUUAUUUGCCGAAUCUAAUAACCAUUCAACAAUGUUUUUUUUACAAAAAAUCAGCCAAUAAUGCUUUAGCCAUGACUUAUCAGUCAAACGAACAUAUGAUAAGUUACUUUUGGAAAGAUACUUUGGCCGUCUGGCAUUUCAUCCCAAAGAUGCCUGUCAGAAAUUUCUCUCCAAAAUCCAAACUAUUAGUGUUCAUGGUUCUCAGGAUAUAAAAUUCAGGAGACAAAAACAUUCCAAGCUGCUAUUAUGAAUUAGUAGCUGCAGGAUAUCUCCCAGCAGAAGAAAUCAAAUAGAAGCAACUGAUGCUCUUUGCAUCACCAAGAAGAUUAACCUAAGCAACUAAUGCUGUGUGAAAGAAAAUGCCGGGCCUUGUUUAGUUCCCCAAAUAUUUUGUAAAAUGUUUCAGAUUCCCCGUCACAUCGAAUCUUGUUGCACAUGCAUAGAACAUUAAAUAUAGAUAAAUAAAAUAACUAAUUACAUAGUUUAUAUGUAAUUUACGAGACGAAUCUUUUGAGCCUAAUUAGUCUUUGAUUGAAUAAUAUUUGUCAAAUACAAACGAAAGUGUUACUAUUUAUAUUUUGCAAGUAAACAAGGCCCAAAUUGAACGAAUGGUAUCCAUGGUUUUUUUUAUUGUUAUAUUCUGAAUUGUCAGAUACUUAUGGCCAUUUCAGUCACUAAACGACACAAGCUGAUUUAGUUGGGGACAACAUAUGAUAGUAGAUUUACAACAAAUCGAAUCACUUCAUUGCCAUUUCAAUGACAUUUAAUCCACAUUUGGAACAGCCAUCGCCUUCUGGCUGCAGGCUCUAGCAGGGCUUCUGAUACUUGAAAGUUGAAAUGGCAUCAACAUUGUCCACAUUAUUCAAGGUGUUGGUUGGGUAGCCGAUUUCACAUUAGCGGCCAAGUCCAAUAAAACUUCGCUGUCAUAUUCUACUCUCAGCAGGUACUGGUGCCAAAUCGAAGUACUCCUCCAGCACAGUGAACACUUCUGUAAGCGAGGCCACCUUGAAGUCAGGUUUAACUUCCUCAGGCAAAGAAUCAUGAGGACCAUAUCGCCCUGUU
rnacentral:lncRNA from 1 species